rnacentral:pre_miRNA from 1 species
GGGUCAGCUCGACGGGUUGGCUAAAUGAGCCGGGUUAGGUUGGUUAAAUUCCAGUUCGAAAAGAACUUGGGUUAGUGCAACCCGACUCGUUGAACUCGCGGGUUAGACGGGCCAACCGCGGGUCAAGCGAGCCAACCCGUCGGGUUAGAGUU